rnacentral:rRNA from 1 species
AUGGGUGACCCGCCUCACCUCAUCUGGCACGGGAGGGAAGAGAGCCUCCGCUGCCGCCAUCAGCCGCCUGGGGCUUUGCCCGGCGACCUCCUCUGGCGGCGGCGGAGGGAAGGGGAAGGAUGGACGUGCCUGGCGGCGGCAGCUAGGGUUUUCACCCGAGCCGCCCUAGCGGGAGGGCGACGAGGGCCGUUGGACCUGAUAAAAAAUGACCAGGUGCAGGCCAUCAUCGGGCCCAAGACAUCGGCGGAGGCGGAGUUCGUCGCCCAUCUCGGCAGCGGCGCCCACGUCCCCGUGCUCUCCUACUCUGCCACCUCCCCGUCUCUCUCCCCGGCGCAGACGCCGUACUUCGUGCGCACCGCCGCCAACGACUCCUUCCAGGCCACCCCCGUCGCUGCCGUCCUCGCAAGCUUCGGGUGGCGCGCCGUGACCGUCCUGCACGAGGACUCCCCGUACGGCGCCGGCAUCCUCCCGGCGCUCGCCGACGCGCUCCAGAGCGUAGAUGGCGCGGCGAUCGUGGACCGCGUGGCUGUGCCGAGCGGCGCGGACGAAGACGCCCUCGACGCGCUGCUCUACCGCCUCAGGGCGAUGCCAACGCGCGUGUUCGUCGUGCACGCGACGCAUGACCUCGCCGUGCGGCUCUUCCGGCGGGCGAGUAAGGCCGGGAUGAUGUCCGGCGGCUACGCCUGGGUUGCCGCCGACGGCGUCGGCAGCUUCCUGGACAGGUUCGACCCCGAGGACCUCGACUUCAUGCAGGGCGUCGUCAGCCUCCGGCCUCACGUGAAGUACACGAAGCAAGUCAAGAACUUCUCUGCGCGGUUCAGGGCAAGGUUCCGGAGGAAGAACCCGGCCUCCGACGAUGACCUCCUCAACGACGCGACCGUGAUCAGGCUCUGGUCGUACGACACGGCCUGGGCGAUCGCCGCGGCGGCUGAGGUGGCCAGCGUACCCGGACCGUGUUAG